rnacentral:tRNA from 1 species
GGGAGGCAGCAUGGGUAUGCGGUCGGGCCUUAUAUCCCCGAGGCGCCAGAUAAGCGUGAGCGAGAGGGUUCGAGUCCCUCGCCUCCUACCA